rnacentral:rRNA from 1 species
ACCGCAUACGUCCUACGGGAGAAAGCAGGGGACCUUCGGGCCUUGCGCUAUCAGAUGAGCCUAGGUCGGAUUAGCUAGUUGGUGAGGUAAUGGCUCACCAAGGCGACGAUCCGUAACUGGUCUGAGAGGAUGAUCAGUCACACUGGAACUGAGACACGGUCCAGACUCCUACGGGAGGCAGCAGUGGGGAAUAUUGGACAAUGGACGAAAGCCUGAUCCAAAAGUGCCGCGUGUGUGAAGAAGGUCUUCGGAUUG